AGCAGGGUGGCCCCAUCAUCAGAGAGGAGCCUCCCACUUCAGGAAUCCUAAGGCCCAUGGAGCCUGGGUACCCUCUCUACUCUUCUCCCAGAAGAGAGACUUUUGCUGCCAUGAUCUCUACAUGUGAACUCCUCCCAAGAGUAGAGCUGCCCAGAAGGACCAUCUGUGGUGAUGGAAAUGUUCUACGAAUGUGCCAUUCAAUAUGCCGGCCGCUUGAACACAUGUCGUCCUGGCCCUCUUGGGCACUGGAAUUGUGAGCAGCGUGACUGAGUAUCUUAGUCCAUUUGGGCUUCUAUUACAGAAAACCAUAGGCUGGUGGCUUAAACAACACACAUUUCUUUCUUACAAUUCCAAGAUUGAGGAACCAGCAGAUUGGUGUCUGGUGAGGGCCCACUUCCUGAUUUGUGGAUGGCUGUCUUCUCCCUGUAUCCUCACAUGAUGGGGAGUGAUAUGGUUUGGCUGUCUGUCCCCUGCUUAAAUCUCAUGUCGAGACCAGGUGCAGUGGCUCACACCUGUAAUCCCAGCACUUUGGGAGGCCAAGGUGGGCGGAUCACCUGAGGCCAGGACUUUGAGAUUAGCCUGAACCACAUGGUGAAAACCUGUCUCCACUAAAAAUACAAAAUUAGCCGGGUGUGGUGGUGGGCGCCUGUAAUCCCAGUUACUCGGGAGGCUGAGGAAGGAGAAUCACUUGAACCUGGGAGGCAGAAGUUGCAGUGAGGCCAGAUGGCGCCACUGCACUCCAGCCUGGGCGACAGAGUGAAACUGUCUCAAAAAAAAAAAAAACCAAAAAAAGAAAAAAAAAGAGGUCUCAUGUCAAAUUGUAAUCCCCAGUGUUGGAGGUGGGGCCUGAUAGGAGGUGAUUAAAUCACCGGGCGGAUUUCUCAUGAAUGGGUUAGCACCAUCCCCUCCGUGCUGUUUUCAUGGUAGAAGGUUAUCAUAAGCUCUGCUUGUUUAAAAGUGAGUAGCACCUCCCCACCUCUCUCAUCCUCUUGCUCUGGCCAUGUGAGAUGUGCGUGCUUCCCCUUCACCUUCUGCCAUGAUUGUAAGUUUCCUGAGACCUCCCCAGAAGCUGAGCAGAUGUCAGAAUCAUGCAUCCUGUACAGCCUGCGGAACGUGAGCCAAUUAAAACUCUUUUCUUGGCUGGGUGUGGUGGCUCACACCUGUAAUCCCAGCACAUUGGGAGGCCAAGGUGGGUGGAUCACCUGAGGUCAUGAGUUCGAGACCAGCCUGGAUAACAUGGUGAAAACCCGUCUCUACUAAAAAUACAAAAAUUUGCUGGGCGUGGUGGCGGGCACCUGUAAUCCAGCUACUCAGGAGGCUGAGGCCGGAGAAUGGCUUGAACCCAGGAGGUGGAGGUGACAGUGAGCCAAGAUCGUGCCAUUGCACUUUUGCCUGGGUGAUGACAGUGAAACUCCAUCUCCAAAAACAAAACAAAACAAAACACCCCUCUUUUCUUUAAAAAUUACCCAGUCUCAGGUUUUUCUUUAUAGCAGUGCCAGAAUGGACCAAGACAGGGAGAGAGGAAGCAAGCUUGGUGAUGACUCUUCUCGAAAGGCUGCUAAUCCCAUCAAGUGAAUUCCACCCUUACAACCUCAUCUAAACAUGAUCACCUCCCAAACUUCUCACCUCCAAAUACCAUCACACUGGGAGUUAGGAGUUUGACAUAUGAAUUUUGGAGAGUCCACAAACAUUCUGCCUAUAACACUAGAAAUGAAUUUCAUUUCAUUUUAUCUAUUUGUUUGAGACAGAGUCUUGUUCUGUCGCCCAGGCUGCAGUGCAGUGGUGUGAUCUCCGCUCACUGCAACCUCCACCUCCCAGGUUCAAAUGAUUCUCCUGCCUCAGCCUCCUGAGUAGUUGGGACUAUAGGCACCCACCACCAUGCCUGGCUAAUGUUUUCUGUAUUUUUAGUAGAGACAAGGUUUCACCAUGUUGGCCAGGCUGGUCUCAAACUCCUGACCUCAAGUGAUCCUCCCACCUCGGCCUCCCAAAGUGCUGGGAUUACAGGGUGAGCCAGAGAACUUGGCCUUCCUUUAAUUUUAAUCAAUUUAAAUGUAAAGAGCUGCAUGUAGCUAGGAGCUACUGAAUUGGACAGCACAGCCUUAAGGAGAGUGGAAAUCAGCUGAAUCCAGUUGAAACAGGAGUUAAACCAGUUGGAGGCAGCCAACAUUGGAUGACCUUGGCUGAAACUAGCUGAAGCUGGUUGAAAGGAGCCACAAACUGUUCACAACCACCUGAAGCUGAAUUAACUUGGCUGAAACUGGUUGAAGUCAUUUGAAACCAGCUGAAACUGGAUCAAACCAGCUGGCAGUGGUUGAAACCAGAUGAAAUCAUUUAAGUAGGGUUUGUCAUAUUAUUUUGCCUCUUGAUGAACUAGUCCUGGGUUUGUUUUUUUUGAGGCAGAAUCUUGCUGUGUCGCCCAGGCUAGAGUGCAGUGGUGCGAUUUCAGCUCACUGCAACCUUCUCCCAGGUUAAAGUGAUCUUCCUGCCUCAGCCUCCUGAGUAGCUGGGAUUACAGGAGCGCACCACCACUCCUGACUAAUUUUUGUAUUUUUAGUAGGGACGGGGUUUCACCAUGUUGGCCAGGUUGGUCUCAAACUCCUGACCUCAGGUGAUCCACCCGUCUUGGCCUCCCAAAGUGCUGGUAUUACAGGCACGAGCCCUGGUGCCCAGCAGCAUACACAUUUAGUUUUAUUCUAACAAGGUAGCUUGUACAUUUUAAGAUAUAAAACUGAACAUCUUUUUUCCUCUGGAGAAACAUAAGGAAAACCAAGGAACUUUUUACAACAAACAUUUUUAAACAUUUACAAAAGUAGACAGAGAGUACAGUGAACCCCCGUGCACCCACUGCCCAGCUUAAAUAACAAUCAGGAUUUUGCCAAUGUGCUCUAAACUAUCCUCCCCUUCCCCUCUUUUUCUUGGCUGGGAUGUUUUAAAGCAAAUCCCAGAUAUGUCGUAAAAAGAAAAUGUAAAAAUAAAACA